rnacentral:rRNA from 1 species
GAGUGAACGCUGGCGGUAGGCCUAACACAUGCAAGUCGAACGGCAGCACAGUAAGAGCUUGCUCUUACGGGUGGCGAGUGGCGGACGGGUGAGGAAUACAUCGGAAUCUACUUUUUCGUGGGGGAUAACGUAGGGAAACUUACGCUAAUACCGCAUACGACCUACGGGUGAAAGCAGGGGAUCUUCGGACCUUGCGCGAUUGAAUGAGCCGAUGUCGGAUUAGCUAGUUGGCGGGGUAAAGGCCCACCAAGGCGACGAUCCGUAGCUGGUCUGAGAGGAUGAUCAGCCACACUGGAACUGAGACACGGUCCAGACUCCUACGGGAGGCAGCAGUGGGGAAUAUUGGACAAUGGGCGCAAGCCUGAUCCAGCCAUACCGCGUGGGUGAAGAAGGCCUUCGGGUUGUAAAGCCCUUUUGUUGGGAAGGAAAAGCAGCAGGUUAAUACCCCGCUGUUCUGACGGUACCCAAAGAAUAAGCACCGGCUAACUUCGUG